rnacentral:rRNA from 1 species
GAUGAACGCUGGCGGCGUGCCUAAUACAUGCAAGUCGAGCGAACAGACGAGGAGCUUGCUCCUUUGACGUUAGCGGCGGACGGGUGAGUAACACGUGGGUAACCUACCUAUAAGACUGGUAUAACUUCGGGAAACCGGAGCUAAUACCGGAUAAUAUUUCGAACCGCAUGGUUCGAUAGUGAAAGAUGGCUUUGCUAUCACUUAUAGAUGGACCUGCGCCGUAUUAGCUAGUUGGUAAGGUAACGGCUUACCAAGGCAACGAUACGUAGCCGACCUGAGAGGGUGAUCGGCCACACUGGAACUGAGACACGGUCCAGACUCCUACGGGAGGCAGCAGUAGGGAAUCUUCCGCAAUGGGCGAAAGCCUGACGGAGCAACGCCGCGUGAGUGAUGAAGGUCUUCGGAUCGUAAAACUCUGUUAUUAGGGAAGAACAAACGUGUAAGUAACUGUGCACGUCUUGACGGUACCUAAUCAGAAAGCCACGGCUAACUACGUG